CCUACGGGAGGCAGCAGUGGGGAAUAUUGCACAAUGGGCGAAAGCCUGAUGCAGCAACGCCGCGUGAAGGAAGACUGUUUUCGGAUUGUAAACUUCUGUUCUUAGUGAAGAAUAAUGACUGUAACUAAGGAGCAAGCCACGGCUAACUACGUGCCAGCAGCCUCGGUAAUACGUAGGUGGCAAGCGUGGUCAGGAAUUACUGGGGGUAAAGGGAGCGUAGGCGUGAAGCCAAGUCAGCUGUGAAAACUACGGGCUUAACCUGUAGACUGCAGUUGAAACUGGCUUUCUUGAGUGAAGUAGAGGUAGGCGGAAUUCCGGGUGGAGCGGUGAAAUGAGUAGAUAUUCGGAGGAAAACCGGUGGCGAAGGCGGCCAACUGGGCUUUAACUGACGCUGAGGCUCGAAAGUGUGGGGAGCAAACAGGAUUAGAUACCCUGGUAGUC
rnacentral:rRNA from 1 species